CGCUACGUCUGUUCACGCGCAGCCUGGGCUUGUGACUCGAAUUGAGGCGUCGGAGUCUGUCACUCCUUCCCUGGCUUAUAGUUCCUGCAGGAACGCCGGCUUUGAUCACCUGCGGGCUGAGUGCGCGCCCCGGUGGCCGCAGCUGCCUGAGGGUCUGUUCUGGAAGAAGCCUGAGAGCUGGUUGUCCUGGCGCGUGGGAGCCCUGAACUUCUCUCGUCAUGGUGAAGAACCGUAUCCCCAACGGGAGAAUGCAAGAUACAUUGGAGCAGGCCUGAACCAGACCAACUGCCUGGAGGAGAGCUGCCCAGCUGACAUGCAGACCCAAGGACAUGAAAAUCAACCCAUGGACAUGCAGAAUCAUGGACAUGGGCUUACUGUGGUAAGCCAUGCAAACUUUAAGGUUGUUACAAGUUUAAAAGAUAAAACUCACACAAACUGAAAAGAAUCAUGGUUAGUGAGCACAACUAACUAUAAGCAACUGUCCUGUUCUAACAAGAUAAUGAUUAUUAGAACCUGAAUCAGAGAGAGACCAGAACAAUCUGGGUGAAAUUCAGCUCAUCUUUAAAGCUGACGAUAAAUAAGAAUAUAUUUUAACAGUAAUUUUAAUAUAAUAAUGUGGUAACCUUUGUGAGCUAUUAAGAAACUAACCUUUAAUAUUCAGAUUUACAAUUUGAUUAUAGGAUAUAAUCAUCAAAAUUAUCUUGUGUCAUCUUUGAAUCCAGAUUAAACUUCCUGAAGGUCUUUCAUCAGGCAUCUUGGCCUGAACAACAGGCAUCUCUGCCUUCACAAAAAAAGGCAGCAAGACCUGAGGAAUAAAGUGAAAUUCUGAGCUGAGAUCUUAAAGAAGAAUGAUGUUUAAGAAUAAUGUUUUAACUUCAUAUAUAAUAAAUAAUAGCAAGAUGC